UCAAGGACUUUAUUUCAUGAUUGGGAGGAGAGAUGUCUCCAUUCCUCUGGUUAAGAACCAGGAAGCACGCUGCCCUACUUUCUGCUGGCAGCCACUUUAUGAUGAUGAGAGGGCCAAAUCUUAGGAUGAAGCUGAUGCUGUGGAUGCUACAGCAAAAAGCACCUAGAUUUCUGGUGAUGUUCAGCCACAAUAUCAACUGCUCUGGAAGCCAGCCCUCAGUUUGCAUUUUCUGUUGAGACGGCUUUCUUAUCAUUUCAACUGGUUUGGAUUGAGGUUUCUUGAAUCUGCUGCCAAAGGCAUCCUAAGUGAUGAUGAGAACUACCACAGAAACCCAGGAGGGCUACAAGAUUUCCUACAACUUGCAGCUGAGCGAGUCCUACCCAAUGUACCUGCCACAGGAUAGCAAGCAUGAUGACUGACAACAUCCUCUAAGACUUGGUCUGGAACUGAGCCCUCAAUUUCUCCAAGGUAUGCCUGCAUGAAACUGGUUUGAAUGGUUAAUUUCUGUAUUGUGCAGCUGAGGAGGGGAGGUAGGUAAGAAGAGUUUAUUUUUCAAUUUACAUUUUUUAUUUAUCCUCUUUUUUUUUCCAUGGGCAUGCAUCACUUUUUUAUUGUGGUAAAAUAUUCAUAACAUACAAUUUACCAUUUUAACCAUUUUUUAAGUUUAUUUAUUUAUUUUGAGAGAGAGACAGCACAAGCAGGGGAGGGACAGAGAGAGAGAAAAAGAGAGAGAGAGAGAGAGAGAGAGAGAGAGAAUCCCAAGCAGGCUCCACACCGUCAGCACAGAGCCCAACCAAGGGCUGAAACUCAUGAACUGUGAGACCAUGAUCUGAGCCAAAACCAAAAGUCGGAUGCUUAACUGACAGAGCCACCCAGGCACCCCUACCAUUUUAACCAUUUUUAAGUGUAUAGUUCAGUAGCAUUUAGUAAUUUCAUAUUGUUGUGAUAUCAUCAUCACCAUCCAUCUCAAGAACUAUUUCAUUUUCUCAGACUGAAACCCUAUACCCAUUAAACAAUAACUUCUAUUCCCCUUCCCUCCAGCCCCUGGCAACUUUCUAUCACUUUGUUGUUCUACUUUCUAUCACUAUGAAUUUGACUAUUCUAGGUAACACAUGUAAGUGGAAUUUUACAAUAUUUGUCCUUUUUGUGACUUAUUUCACUUAGCAUAAUGUCUUCAAGUUCACUGGUAUCAUAGUACGUAUCAAUGCUUUGUUCCUUGUUAUGGCUAAGUAAUAUUCCAUUGUGUGCAUAUAUCACAUUUUGUUUAUCCAUUCAUCCAUUAAUAGACACUUGGGUUGGGUACACCUUUUGGCUAUUGUGAAUAAUGUUGCUAUGAACAUUGAUGUACAAUAUCUGUCCAAUACUAAAAACUUUUUAUUUAAGCCCUAUACAUGAAGUGGGGAGAAAAUCUGGGAAAAAAUUAAUAAAAAGG